UCUAAUAUGGCAGAAAAGUGCAAUGGAUUUAAGCUCCAUACAUAAAGGAUCAACCUUUUAUUAGAA
rnacentral:tRNA from 1 species